ACUCCUACGGGAGGCAGCAGUAGGGAAUUUUCCGCAAUGGACGAAAGUCUGACGGAGCAAUGCCGCGUGAGUGAUGAAGGUUUUCGAAUCGUAAAGCUCUGUUGUAAGGGAAGAAUAGCAAGGAUAGGAAAUGCUCCUUGUCUGACGGUACCUUACCAGAAAGCCACGGCUAACUACGUGCCAGCAGCCGCGGUAAUACGUAGGUGGCAAGCGUUAUCCGGAAUUAUUGGGUUUAAAGGGUCCGUAGGCGGUUUUAUAAGUCAGUGGUGAAAUCCGGCAGCUCAACUGUCGAACUGCCAUUGAUACUGUAGAACUUGAAUUAUUGUGAAGUAACUAGAAUAUGUAGUGUAGCGGUGAAAUGCUUAGAGAUUACAUGGAAUACCAAUUGCGAAGGCAGGUUACUAACAAUAUAUUGACGCUGAUGGACGAAAGCGUGGGUAGCGAACAGGAUUAGAUACCCUGGUAGGAUAGCGU
rnacentral:rRNA from 1 species